ensembl:snoRNA
AACCCCCUGUUCACUUUUUAAAAUGGAUUUAUGUCUUUAUUGCUCAUUAAUUGGGGCAAAGGAAAUAUCCUUUUAAAACUCAGGCAGGCCGGGCGCGGUGGCUCAAGCCUGUAAUCCCAGCACUUUGGGAGGCCGAGAC